rnacentral:rRNA from 1 species
GACGAACGCUGGCGGCGUGCCUAAUACAUGCAAGUAGAGCGCUGAAGGAGGAGCUUGCUUCUCUGGAUGAGUUGCGAACGGGUGAGUAACGCGUAGGUAACCUGCCUGGUAGCGGGGGAUAACUAUUGGAAACGAUAGCUAAUCCCGCAUAAGAGUAGAUGUUGCAUGCCAUUUGUUUAAAAGGUGCAUUUGCAUAACUCCAAGAUGGACUUGCGUUGUAUUAGCUAGUUGGUGGGGUAACGGCUCACCAAGGCGACGAUACAUAGCCGACCUGAGAGGGUGAUCGGCCACACUGGGACUGAGACACAGCCCAGACUCCUACGGGAGGCAGCAGUAGGGAAUCUUCGGCAAUGGACGGAAGUCUGACCGAGCAACGCCGCGUGAGUGAAGAAGGUUUUCGGAUCGUAAAGCUCUGUUGUAAGAGAAGAACGAGUGUGAGAGUGGAAAGUUCACACUGUGACGGUAUCUUACCAGAAAGGGACGGCUAACUACGUG